GAGUUUGAUCUUGGCUCAGGACGAACGCUGGCGGCGUGCCUAAUACAUGCAAGUCGAGCGGAUCUUCAUUAGCUUGCUUUUGAAGAUCAGCGGCGGACGGGUGAGUAACACGUGGGCAACCUGCCUGUAAGACUGGGAUAACUUCGGGAAACCGGAGCUAAUACCGGAUAAUCCUUUUCCUCUCAUGAGGAAAAGCUGAAAGACGGUUUCGGCUGUCACUUACAGAUGGGCCCGCGGCGCAUUAGCUAGUUGGUGAGGUAACGGCUCACCAAGGCGACGAUGCGUAGCCGACCUGAGAGGGUGAUCGGCCACACUGGGACUGAGACACGGCCCAGACUCCUACGGGAGGCAGCAGUAGGGAAUCUUCCGCAAUGGACGAAAGUCUGACGGAGCAACGCCGCGUGAGCGAUGAAGGCCU
rnacentral:rRNA from 1 species